AGACUGGAGAAAAAGCGAAAGGCAUCAUUUCCAUUGAUACCAGACAUACUAUAAACAUUGAGGGUUCCAAUUUUUGAGAUUUUUUCAUCGUCUUGAAGAAUACUCGACCAUUCCUUGUUUUCCUCCUCAAGGUUGGAUUGACACGGCAAUAGAGUGCCUCGGUUAAAAGUACCAACCGGAGAGGGUGCAGCAUUGGUGGAUGCUGAAACCAUCGAUGGAACACCAAGAGGCGAGGUCAAAUCACCAUUUUCGUGUUUGUUAGAUGCAUUAGGAACGGAAAGGCUGAGGACGCUAGUAUGACCAAAAGGUUUAAGACGGGGAGGAGGAAGUUCCCAAAGGGUAUUAUCAAAUUUGAUACCAUUAAAAAACGGAUGCUGGUGUAUUUCAUCAACAGUUAAGCGAUCUUUAGGAUCU